CUUCCUACGGCUAAGCCCAGGAUUACCCUAGAUGCUGCGAGUGAAGCGGGAAAAGCUCAAAUUUAAAAUCUGGCAGUCUUUGGCUGUCCGAGUUGUAAUCUAGAGAAGUGUUAUCCGUGCUGGACCGUGUACAAGUUUCCUGGAAUGGGACAUCAUAGAGGGUGAGAAUCCCGUCUCUGACACGGACUCCCAGUGCAUUGUGAUGCGCUCUCAAAGAGUCGAGUUGUUUGGGAAUGCAGCUCUAAAUGGGUGGUAAAUUCCAUCUAAAGCUAAAUAUUGGCGAGAGACCGAUAGCGAACAAGUACCGUGAGGGAAAGAUGAAAAGAACUUUGGAAAGAGAGUUAAACAGUACGUGAAAUUGUUGAAAGGGAAACGCUUGAAGUCAGUCGCGUUGGCUGGUGAUCAACCUUGGUUUUCCUUGGUGUAUUUCCCAGUUGACGGGCCAGCAUCAAUUUUGACCAGUGGAUAAAGGUCAGGGGAAUGUGGCAUCUCCGGAUGUGUUAUAGCCCUUGGUUGUAUACAUUGGUUGGGAUUGAGGAACUCAGCACGCCGCAAGGCCGGGUCUUUGACCACGUUCGUGCUUAGGAUGCUGGCAUAAUGGCUUUAAUCGACCCGUCUUGAAACACGGACCAAGGAGUCUAACAUGCCUGCGAGUAUUUGGGUGGAAAACCCAUGUGCGUAAUGAAAGUGAAGAUCAGGAUCCCUGUCGUAGGGAGCACUGAUGCCCGGACCAGACCUCUUGUGACGGAUCUGCGGUAGAGCAUGCAUGUUGGGACCCGAAAGAUGGUGAACUAUGCCUGAAUAGGGUGAAGCCAGAGGAAACUCUGGUGAGGCUUCGUAGCGGAUUUCUGAACGUGCAAUCGAAUCGUCACGUGGGUAUUAGGGGGGGCG
rnacentral:rRNA from 1 species